GUCAGGAUGGCCGAGUGGUCUAAGGCGCCAGACUCAAGUUACUACUUCCCAGAUUUGGGGCUUCUGGUCUCCGCAUGGAGGCGUGGGUUCGAAUCCCACUUCUGACA
rfam:Pongo abelii chromosome 6.